AAAAGUUACUAAGGGCGUACGGCGGAUGCCUAGGCUUUGAGAGGCGAUGAAGGACGUGAUAAGCUGCGAUAAGCUUCGGGGAGUGGCACAUACACAUUAUAUCCGAAGAUUUCCGAAUGGGGCAACCCGGCAGGUUGAAGGCCUGUCACUGCGUAAGCAGAGCGAACGUGGGGAACUGAAACAUCUAAGUACCCAUAGGAAAAGAAAUCAAUUGAGAUUCCGUAAGUAGUGGCGAGCGAACGCGGAUUAGCCCUAAAGACCAUAUAUUUUUAGUAGAAUAACCUGGAAAGGUUAACCGAAGAGGGUGAUAGUCCUGUAAACGAAAAGGAUAUAUGGUUGAUAACGAGUAAGGCGGAACACGAGAAAUUCUGUCCGAAUAUGGGAGGACCAUCUUCCAAGGCUAAAUACUCCUCAAAGACCGAUAGUGAACUAGUACUGUGAAGGAAAGGUGAAAAGCAUAUCGAAUAGAUAGUUGAAAUAGAUCCUGAAACCGUACGCCUACAAGCGGUCGGAGCCCUACGGGGUGACGGCGUGCCUUUUGCAUAAUGAUCCUACGAGUUAAUGUCACUGGCAAGGUUAAGUACUUCAGGUACGGAGCCGUAGCGAAAGCGAGUCUGAAUAGGGCGAUACAGUCAGUGGUAUUAGACGCGAAACCUUGUGAUCUACCCAUGGGCAGGUUGAAGCUUUGGUAACACAAAGUGGAGGACCGAACCGGUUGACGUUGAAAAGUCUUCGGAUGACCUGUGGGUAGGGGUGAAAGGCCAAUCAAACUGGGAAAUAGCUCGUACUCCCCGAAAUGCAUUUAGGUGCAGCGUCAUGUGAAGUAUAUUAGAGGUAGAGCUACUGAUUGGAUGCGGGGGAGUCAAAUCCUACCAAUUCCUGACAAACUCCGAAUGCUAAUAUAUGUUUCAUGGCAGUGAGGGCAUGGGUGCUAAGGUCCAUGUCCGAGAGGGAAAGAACCCAGACCAUCAGCUAAGGUCCCCAAAUAUAUGCUAAGUUGAAUAAACGCGGUUGGAUUGCAUUGACAGCUAGGAUGUUAGCUUGGAAGCAGCUAUUCAUUUAACGAGUGCGUAACAGCUCACUAGUCGAGCGAUCCGGCAUGGAUAAUAAUCGGGCAUAAGCAUAUUACCGAAGCUAUGGAUUUGUACUGAAAUAUGUACAUCUGGUAGGGGAGCAUUCUAGCGGCGCAGAAGUCGUUCCGGCAAGGAGCGGUGGAGCUUCUAGAAAAGAAAAUGUAGGAAUGAGUAACGAUAAAAUAAGUGAGAAACUUAUUCGCCGUAAGACUAAGGUUUCCUCAGCUAUGCUAAUCAGCUGAGGGUUAGUCGGGACCUAACGCGAACCCGAAAGGGGUAGUGGAUGGCAAAUGGGUUAAUAUUCCCAUACCUGCUCUCAAUAAAAGUGACGAAUGAUCGUAGGAGGUGCGUACUGACGGAAUAGUACGUUGAACUUAGGUAAACUAAGGAUAGUACACAAAGGUUUCGGCUGGAGUGAUAACCCUCUGAAGAUUGUUCCAAGAAAUAGCGAGAGAAGCAGCCCGUACCGUAAACCGACACAGGUGGUCGAGGAGAGUAUCCUAAGGCGCUCGAGCGAUUCAUGGUUAAGGAAUUAGGCAAAAUAGCCCCGUAACUUCGGGAGAAGGGGCGCUGGUAGCAAUAUCAGCCUCAGUAAAAAGGCCCAGGCGACUGUUUAUCAAAAACACAGGACUCUGCUAAAUAGAAAUAUGACGUAUAGGGUCUGACACCUGCCCGGUGCUGGAAGGUUAAGGAAGGGGGUUAGAAGUAAUUCGAAGCUCUUAACUGAAGCCCCAGUAAACGGCGGCCGUAACUAUAACGGUCCUAAGGUAGCGAAAUUCCUUGUCGGGUAAGUUCCGACCUGCACGAAUGGUGUAACGAUCUGGGCACUGUCUCAACCAUGAUCUCGGUGAAAUUGUAGUAUCGGUGAAGAUGCCGGUUAAUCGCAACGGGACGAAAAGACCCUGUGAACCUUUACUAUAGCUUUGUAUUGACUUCGGGUAAAUAAUGUGUAGGAUAGGUGGGAGACUAUGAAGCAGCGUCGCUAGGCGUUGUGGAGUCAUUGUUGAAAUACCACCCUUUAUUUACUUGGAGCCUAACUUCUGAUUCAGAAGGACAGUGCAUGGUGGGUAGUUUGACUGGGGUGGUCGCCUCCAAAAGAGUAACGGAGGCUUUCAAAGGUACCCUCAGCACGCUUGGUAACCGUGCGUAGAGUGUAAUGGCAUAAGGGUGCUUGACUGUGAGGCCAACAAGCCGAGCAGGUGCGAAAGCAGGACAUAGUGAUCCGGUGGUUCCGUAUGGAAGGGCCAUCGCUCAAGGAUAAAAGGUACUCCGGGGAUAACAGGCUAGUCUCCCCAAGAGCUCACAUCGACGGGGAGGUUCGGCACCUCGAUGUCGGCUCGUCACAUCCUGGGGCUGGAGAAGGUCCCAAGGGUUGGGCUGUUCGCCCAUUAAAGUGGCACGCGAGCUGGGUUCAGAACGUCGUGAGACAGUUCGGUCUCUAUCUGUUGUGAUCGUUAGAAGUUUGAGCGGAGUUGACUCUAGUACGAGAGGACCGUGUUGAACAAACCUUGGUGUAUCAGUUGUGCCGCCAGGUGCACCGCUGAGUAGCUACGUUUGGAAGAGAUAAGCGCUGAAAGCAUAUAAGCGCGAAACUCGCCGCAAGAUUAGACUUCUUUAAAGGGUCGUUGUAGACUACAACGUUGAUAGGCUAUAGAUGUAAAGGCAGUGAUGUCAUAGUCGAGUAGUACUAAUUACCCAUAGACUUUUUCAG
rnacentral:rRNA from 2 species